rnacentral:rRNA from 1 species
AGGGCGUAUGGGGAAUGCCUAGGCUCUUGGAGGCGAAGAAAGACGUGGUAAGCUGCGAAAAGCUCCGGGGAUUUGCAAACAAGAUUUGAUCCGGAGAUUUCUGAAUGGGACAACCCGUCAGGUAGAAGACCUGACACAUCGUAAGAUGGGCCAACCCUCUGAACUGAAACAUCUUAGUAGGAGGAGGAAAAGAAAGAAACAUCGAUUUCCUGAGUAGCGGCGAGCGAAAGGGAAAAAGCCUAAACCGGUAUUGUUACGGCAAUGCCGGGGUUGUAGGACUGCAACAUUCAAGUAACAAUGAACUGGAACGAUCUGGAAAGUUCGUCCAUAGAGGGUGAAAGGCCCGUACAGGUAAGUUCGUUAUGCGAUAGCAGUAUCCUGAGUAGGGCGGGACACGAGGAAUCCUGUCUGAAUCUGCCGGGACCACCCGGUAAGGCUAAAUACUCCCAAGAGACCGAUAGUGAACCAGUACCGUGAGGGAAAGGUGAAAAGAACCCCGAACAGGGGAGUGAAAUAGAACCUGAAACCAUACGCUUACAACCGGUCGGAGCAGCUUCGUGCUGUGACGGCGUGCCUAUUGAAUAAUGAGCCUACGAGUUACUAAUCACUAGCGAGGUUAAGUGCAAGGAUGCACGGAGCCGAAGCGAAAGCGAGUCUGAACAGGGCGUUUAGUUAGUGGUUGUAGACGCGAAACCUUGCGAUCUACCCUUGAGCAGGUUGAAGGUUGGGUAAAACCAACUGGAGGACCGAACGAAUAAGCGUUGAAAAGCUUCUCGAUGACUUGAGGGUAGGGGUGAAAGGCUAAUCAAGCUGGGAAAUAGCUCGUACUCCCCGAAAUGCCUUUUGGGGCAGCGUUGUAAUAAAGAGUCUACUGGAGGUAGAGCUACUGAUUGGAUGCGGGGGCUUCACCGCCUACCAAAUCCUGACAAACUCCGAAUGCCAGUAGUAUGAUUUACAGCAGUGAGUGACUGGGUGCUAAUGUCCAGUCGCAAAAGAGGAACAACUCAGACCAGCAACUAAGGUCCCGAAGAAUAUGCUAAGUUGAUCUAACGAUGUUUUGUUGCAGAGACAGCUAGGAUGUUAGCUUGGAAGCAGCUAUUCAUUCAAAGAGUGCGUAACAGCUCACUAGUCGAGCGACAGAGCGUGGAUAAUAAACGGGCAUCAAGCAUAUCACCGAAGUUCUGGGCGCGAGAGCGCGGUAGGGGAGCAUUCCAUUCAGCGUCGAAGCAGUUUCGUGAGGAAUUGUGGAGCGUAUGGAAAAGCAAAUGUAGGCAUGAGUAACGAUAAUGCGGGAGAGUAACCCGCACACCGCAAGACCAAGGUUUCCUGAUCAACGCUAAUCGGAUCAGGGUUAGUCGGGUCCUAAGGGUAAGCCGAACGGCGAUCUCGAUGGAUAAUCGGUUAAUAUUCCGAUACUAACAUAUACCUCGAUGGAGAGACGAAGGAACGUAAGUGCCGCCACCUGACGGAAUAGGUGGUUAAAGGGCGUAGGUAUAGGGGCAGAUUAAGAGUUAGUCCUUGCUGAAACCUGACAGUACAGAGAGCCUACGGGCAAUUUGAUAGAGCACCCAAGUCGACUUCCGAGAAAAUCUUCUAAGUUAUAGUAUAUGUUACCCGUACCGUAAACCGACACAGGUGGUCGAGGAGAGUAUCCUAAGGUGCUCGAGUGAAUCACGGUUAAGGAACUAGGCAAAUUAACCCCGUAACUUCGGGAAAAGGGGUCCCUAUGAAAGUAGGGCGCAGCGAAGAGGUCCAGGCGACUGUUUAUCAAAAACACAGGGCUCUGCAAAUUCGAAAGAAGACGUAUAGGGCCUGACACCUGCCCGGUGCUGGAAGGUUAAGAGGGGAUGUCAUCGCAAGAGAAGCAUUGAAUCGAAGCCCCAGUAAACGGCGGCCGUAACUAUAACGGUCCUAAGGUAGCGAAAUUCCUUGUCGGGUAAGUUCCGACCUGCACGAAUGGUGUAACGAUCUGGACACUGUCUCAACCGUGAGCUCGGUGAAAUUGUAGUCCCGGUGAUGAUGCCGGGUACCCGCAACGGGACGAAAAGACCCCGUGAACCUUUACUAUAGCUUAACGCUGAAUUUGGGUACACAAUGUGUAGGAUAGGCCGGAGGCUUUGAAGCGGGCACGCCAGUGUUCGUGGAGCCGACGUUGAAAUACGGCCCUUUGUGUAUUUGAGUUCUAACCCUGCGAAGGGGACACCGUUUGGUGGGUAGUUUGACUGGGGUGGUCGCCUCCAAAAGCGUAACGGAGGCUU